UGGGGAAUAUUUCACAAUGGGCGCAAGCCUGAUGCAGCCAUGCCGCGUGUAUGAAGAAGGCCUUCGGGUUGUAAAGUACUUUCAGUCGGGAGGAAGGUGGUAAGGUUAAUAACCUUAUCAAUUGACGUUACCGACAGAAGAAGCACCGGCUAACUCCGUGCCAGCAGCCGCGGUAAUACGGAGGGUGCAAGCGUUAAUCGGAAUUACUGGGCGUAAAGCGCACGCAGGCGGUUGAUUGAGUCAGAUGUGAAAUCCCCGGGCUUAACCCGGGAAUUGCAGGUGAUACUGGUCAGCUAGAGUCUUGUAGAGGGGGGUAGAAUUCCAUGUGUAGCGGUGAAAUGCGUAGAGAUGUGGAGGAAUACCGGUGGCGAAGGCGGCCCCCUGGACAAAGACUGACGCUCAGGUGCGAAAGCGUGGGGAGCAAACAGG
rnacentral:rRNA from 1 species